GGGAAUAUGCCUUUUGGUACGGAACAACUUUUGGAAACGAAAGCUAAUACCGUAUGGUCCCUUCGGGGUAAAGAUUUAUCGCCAAAAGAUUAGCCCGCACUAGAUUAGCUAGUUGGUGAGGUAACGGCUCACCAAGGCGACGAUCUAUAGCUGUUCUGAGAGGAAGAUCAGCCACACUGGGACUGAGACACGGCCCAGACUCCUACGGGAGGCAGCAGUUAGGAAUAUUGGACAAUGGGCGCAAGCCUGAUCCAGCCAUGCCGCGUGAACGAUGAAGGCCUUCGGGUUGUAAAGUUCUUUAGCCGAUGAUUAUAAUGACUGUAGUCGGAAAAUAAGCCCCGGCUAACUUCGUGCCAGCAGCCGCGGUAAUACGAAGGGGGCGAGCGUUAUUCGGAAUCACUGGGCGUAAAGCGUGCGUAGGCGGUCUUGUAAGUUAGGAGUGAAAGCCCAGGGCUUAACCUUGGAAUUGCUCUUAAUACUGCAAGGCUAGAAUCUCGGAGAGGAUAGCGGAAUUUCCAGU
rnacentral:rRNA from 1 species